GGAACUGGUGAGACAUGCCUGAUUACGUCAGUCACUCCCAGGAACGCCCUUCAACAAGGACUAGGGUUCCGUCGCUUUAUGCCGGACCCCCGAAGAGAUCCACGGUGCGGAGCAAGUGUUUACGUCAAGUACUCAAGGCAACACCUGGGAAUUGCCGACUGGGACUACCAAGUCGCCGAUUCCAGGAGUGCAUCGUCGACUCCAGACAGGGCACUCGGGUCUGGUAGACCGAGGACCUGACCACAAGGGAGUCGGCGACUCCACCUCUGAAUCGACGACUCCCAUACCUGAGUCGCCGAUUCCCAGCCAUUACUUGGGAGGGCCCACGUCAUUAUG
rnacentral:lncRNA from 1 species